UGCAGCCCGCGGCCUGGACGCAGCGCGGCCUCGGGCGGAGGGCGGCGCCACAGCGCGCGGCCCGCCCCCGUCCCGCAGCCCUGCUGUCCCGGCGCGCGCACUGUGCGCGUACCCGGGCCCGGCGGCGGCGUGCGCGGGCCGCGCGUGCGCGCUGUGGCGGGGCGAGGGGCGGCGCGGGCGCGAGUCUGUCAGUGACAGCGGGAGGGGGAGAGGGAGGGGGCUGGAGAUGGUGGCGGUGGCGUCGGUGGCGGCUCUUCCGACAUGAGGCAGCGGCAUCGAGGGGCUCGGCUGCGGCUGCGGCCGCGGCGGCAUCUCUAGCUCGGGAGGCCGCCCCAGGCGUGGGCAGGCGGACGUCCCGGGAGCGGGCUCUGCGGCAGCGCCGCGGACGGGCCGCCGGCUGAGGGGCCCGCGCCCGCCGCGCCCUGCGCUCGGCGCCCGGCGGCUCCGGGGCGCGGGGUUGGCCCCGGAGGCCGGGAGGGGCGGUGCGGCCGGGUCAGGCCCCGCUAGACGAGCCGCGCCAACGGGGGCGGCCGCAGCGCCGCGGGAUCCGCAAACUUGCGCCGGGCCUCGCAGCCCGCCCGCCGCCAGCGGAGCAGCAGAGCGCGAGGGCGCCGGGCGCGGGGCGGGGGCGGGGGUCCGGCCGCCGGCCUUGAAGCGGCCGAGGCGCCGCUCUGUGCGCAGCAUGAGGGGCCCGCGGCCGCCGCCGGGAGAGCUGUGUUUGCGAGAGCGGCCCGCGGCGUGAGAGGGCUCGGCUGGACUUUCCCUCCAGAGCCGGCGGCGGAGCAGGCGAGUGCGCGCGUAGGAAACGCACCGCGGGCUCGGGCGGCGCUGGACGGGCGCGGGGGCGGCCGCCGCUCGGACCCCCGUGUGUUCCAGGUCCGGCCCCGGUGGCUGCGGUUGGCCUCGAGGGGGGACGGUGGAGUGGCGCUCAGACAUUACCCGGUUGUUGUGAGCAGACGGUGCCUUUCCCAGUAGACCGCCGGGGCCCCCACUUAGGAAACCGGUAGAGCUCGUGGCCUUCAGGUGUGCGUACCUGCAGGAACAGAUGUCAGUGUAACUCUGGUUGUCUCGCUGAUAGGUUCCGGUGACCCCGGCCGGGAGGCUUCCGAGCGCUCGGCAACAUGGCUUCCCCGCCCCACCAACAGCUGCUGCAGCACCACAGCACCGAGGUGAGUUGUGACUCCAGCGGAGACAGCAACAGCGUGAGGGUCAAAAUCAACCCCAAGCAGCUGUCCUCCAACAGCCACCCGAAACACUGCAAGUACAGCAUCUCCUCCAGCUGUAGCAGCUCCGGGGACUCAGGGGGCUUCCCCCGGAGAAUGGGCGCCGGAGGCCGCCUGCGCAGGAAAAAGAAGCUGCCUCAGCUGUUCGAGAGGGCCUCCAGCCGGUGGUGGGACCCCAAAUUCGACUCCAUGAACCUGGAGGAGGCUUGCAUGGAGCGCUGCUUCCCGCAGACCCAGCGCCGCUUCCGGUAUGCGCUCUUCUACAUUGGCUUCGCCUGCCUUCUCUGGAGCAUCUAUUUUGGGGUCCACAUGAGAUCCAAACUGACUGUCAUGGUAGCCCCUGCUCUGUGCUUCCUCGUGGUGUGUGUGGGCUUUUUUCUGUUUACCUUCACCAAGCUGUACGCCCGGCAUUACGUGUGGACCUCGCUGGUUCUUACCCUCCUGGUGUUCGCCCUGACUCUGGCUUCCCAGUUUCAGGUUUUGACGCCCUUCUCAGGACGAGUUGACAGCUUCAAUCAUACUCGGGCAGCCAGGCCCACAGACACUUGCUUAUCUCAAGUGGGGAGCUUUUCCAUGUGCAUUGAAGUGCUCUUUUUGCUCUACACCGUCAUGCACUUACCUUUGUACUUGAGCUUGAUUUUGGGAGUGGCCUAUUCUGUUCUUUUUGAGACCUUUGGCUAUCAUUUCCAAGACAAAGGCUGCUUCCCCUCACCUGGAGCAGAGGCCCUGCACUGGGAGCUGCUGAGCCGAGCCCUGCUGCAUGUCUGCAUUCACGCCAUUGGGAUCCACCUGUUCAUCAUGUCCCAGGUGAGAUCCAGGAGCACCUUCCUCAAGGUGGGCCAGUCAAUUAUGCAUGGAAAGGAUCUGGAAGUGGAAAAAGCGCUGAAAGAGAGGAUGAUUCAUUCUGUGAUGCCAAGAAUCAUAGCUGAUGACUUGAUGAAGCAGGGGGACGAGGAGAGCGAGAAUUCUGUCAAAAGGCAUGCCACCUCCAGCCCCAAGAACAGGAAGAAAAAGUCUUCCAUACAGAAAGCCCCUAUUGCCUUCCGCCCAUUCAAAAUGCAGCAGAUCGAAGAAGUCAGUAUUUUAUUCGCAGAUAUUGUGGGCUUCACCAAGAUGAGUGCCAAUAAGUCCGCCCAUGCCCUGGUGGGGCUCCUCAAUGAUCUGUUCGGCCGCUUCGACCGGUUGUGCGAGGAGACCAAGUGUGAGAAAAUCAGCACUCUGGGAGACUGCUACUAUUGUGUGGCCGGGUGUCCCGAGCCUCGGGCCGACCAUGCCUACUGCUGCAUUGAAAUGGGCUUGGGCAUGAUAAGGGCUAUCGAGCAGUUCUGCCAAGAGAAGAAAGAGAUGGUGAACAUGCGCGUUGGGGUUCACACGGGGACUGUCUUGUGCGGCAUCUUGGGCAUGAGGAGGUUUAAAUUCGACGUGUGGUCCAAUGAUGUGAACUUGGCCAAUCUCAUGGAGCAGCUGGGAGUGGCUGGCAAGGUUCACAUUUCCGAGGCCACUGCAAAAUACCUAGAUGACCGGUACGAAAUGGAAGAUGGGAAGGUUACUGAACGCCUCGGCCAGAACGUUGUUGCUGACCAGUUGAAAGGUUUGAAGACAUACCUGAUAGCGGGUCAGAGAGCGAAGGAGUCUCAUUGCAGCUGUUCAGAGGCCUUGCUUUCUGGCUUUGAGGUCAUUGACGGCUCACGGGUGUCCUCAGGCCCUAGGGGACAGGGGACAGCAUCGCCAGGGAGUGUCAGUGACUUGGCGCAGACUGUCAAAACCUUUGAUAACCUUAAGACCUGCCCGUCGUGCAGAAUCAUGUUUGCUCCCAAAUUGGAAGCUGGCGCUGAAGGCGGAGCAGUCCAGAAUGGCUGCCAGGAGGAGCCCAAGAAGAGCACCAAGGCUUCUGGAGGACCCAGUUCCAAAACGCAAAACGGACUGCUAAGCCCUCCCCCGGAGGAGAAGCUCACCAACAGUCAGACCUCCCUGUGCGAGAUCUUACAAGAGAAGGGAAGGUGGGCAGGUGUGAGCUUGGACCAGUCAGCCCUCCUUCCUCUGAGGUUCAAGAACAUCCGGGAGAAAACGGAUGCCCAUUUUGUUGACGUUAUCAAGGAAGACAGCCUGAUGAAAGAUUAUUUUUUUAAGCCACCCAUUAAUCAGUUCAGCUUGAACUUCCUGGAUCAGGAGCUAGAACAAGCCUACAGGACCAGCUAUCAAGAAGAGGUUAUAAAGAAUUCUCCCGUGAAGACUUUUGCCAGUGCCACCUUCAGCUCCCUCCUGGAUGUGUUUCUGUCGACAACAGUGUUUCUGAUUCUCUCCAUUACCUGCUUCCUGAAGUAUGGGGCCGCCUCCAUGCCACCCCCGCCGGCCGCCCUGGUGGUCUUCGGAGCAGCCCUGCUUCUGGAGAUCCUGUCCCUCGUGGUCUCUGUCAGGAUGGUGUUCUUCCUGGAGGAUGUGAUGGCUUGUACCAAGCGCCUGCUGGAGUGGAUAGCCGGCUGGCUCCCGCGCCAUUUCAUCGGGGCCAUCCUGGUGUCCCUCCCCGCCCUCGCAGUCUAUUCACAUGUCACCUCCGAAUUUGAGACAAACAUACACUCCACCGUGUUCACGGGCUCGGCUGUCCUGAUCACCGUGGUGCACUACUGUAACUUCUGCCAGCUCAGCUCCUGGAUGAGGUCCUCCUUGGCCACAGUCGUCGGGGCCGGGCCCCUGCUGCUGCUCUACGUCUCCCUCUGCCCAGACAGUUCCAUAGUAAUUUCACACCUGGAUGCAGUACAGAAUUUCAGCUCCAAGAGGAAUCCGUGCAACGCCUCGCUGCCGCACGACAGCAGGAGCCCAGCCAGCCUGAUCGGCCAGGAGGUGAUUCUUGUCUUCUUCCUCCUGCUCUUGUUGGUCUGGUUCCUGAAUCGAGAAUUCGAAGUCAGCUACCGCCUACACUACCACGGGGACGUGGAGGCGGACCUGCACCGCACUAAGAUCCAGAGCAUGAGGGACCAGGCCGACUGGCUGCUGAGAAACAUCAUCCCCUACCACGUGGCCGAGCAGCUGAAGGUCUCCCAGACCUACUCGAAGAACCACGACAACGGAGGAGUCAUCUUCGCCAGCAUCGUCAACUUCAGCGAGUUCUAUGAGGAGAACUACGAGGGCGGCAAGGAGUGCUACCGGGUCCUCAACGAGCUGAUCGGGGACUUCGACGAGCUCCUGAGCAAGCCGGACUACAGCAGCAUUGAGAAGAUCAAGACCAUCGGGGCCACAUACAUGGCCGCGUCGGGGCUGAACGCCACACAGUGCCGUGACGGCAGCCACCCGCAGGAGCACCUGCAGAUCCUGUUUGAGUUCGCCAAGGAAAUGAUGCGCGUGGUGGACGACUUCAACAAUAACAUGCUCUGGUUCAACUUCAAGCUCAGGGUGGGCUUCAACCAUGGGCCCCUGACGGCAGGCGUCAUUGGCACCACCAAGCUGCUGUACGACAUCUGGGGAGACACGGUCAACAUCGCCAGCAGGAUGGACACCACGGGGGUGGAGUGCCGCAUCCAGGUCAGCGAGGAAAGCUACCGCGUCCUGAGCAAGAUGGGCUACGACUUCGACUACAGAGGGACGGUGAACGUCAAGGGCAAAGGCCAGAUGAAGACCUACCUGUACCCCAAGUGCACAGACAACGGGAUGGUGCCGCAGCACCAGCUCUCCAUCUCCCCCGACAUCCGAGUCCAGGUGGACGGCAGCAUCGGACGCUCCCCCACGGACGAGAUCACCAACCUGGUGCCUUCUGUACAGAACCCGGACCAGGUGUCCCUGGGCUCCGAGAACAACACACAGGCCAGGGACACUCACCCGUCUUCUAAGAAACCCUGGAAGGAGCCCAUCAAAGCCGAAGAAAGGUGUAGGUUCAGCAAAGCCAUAGAGAAAAGCGACUGUGAAGAAGCAGGGGUGGAGGAAGCCAAUGAACUCACCAAGCUCAACGUCUCAAAGAGGGCAUGAUGCGGCCCAGCGCCGCCCGCGGUGCUCUGUCCGUCCAGGUUCCACAGUUCCCGUCCCUGGACAUGGUGUCCUGUGGUCAUUGCAGCCCUAACUUCUGUGUGGAUCACAGUUAUUCAGGGUUCAUCUUCAUCCGUUUUUUUCCUCUUCCCCCUUGGUGUGACCAUUUGGCAGUGUGGAGAACAAGUGCCUUCAGGGGCUGGCGCGGCCUGGAGUCCAGGGAAGGUGCGGCCAGGGUGUGGCGCUGGGUGGUGGUGGACGUUAAAACAGAAGCUGUGGUUAAAAUAUUAUUUUUAUUGCUUUUUCUCACGAGACACUUUUUUUUUUUGCUAAUACAAUGUUUUUGAGGUUUUUUUUCUGUAUACGUACUAGUGUUUUUCCAGUGACCUGACCUUUCUAUGUAAACACAUAGACGCACACACACUUGCAUUCAUGAAUCUGAGAUCAAGUGCCAGUAACUCACUGGGCGGGGAUGCUGGGGGGGUGCAGGCUGAGGACCGUAGAGGGCCAUCAGCCAGGACACCGGUGUCCCCUGACAUGCGCCUUCCAGGCCAGCUGGGCCCUCAGGGGCUGUGACUGCACCCACCGCCCCCCACACCCAGCAGCUUUAGGGCUUCCUCCUCGUGCAGGCCGAGAUUCCAAAUGCUUACCGGCCUCACAGCUCAUGAACCCAGGCCUCAGGUAUCUAAAAGCCCUUUUUCAUUCUGCUCCCGCCCCAAGGGGUCUUCCAGCUGGAGCGGAGGGGCUUGUCUUGGAAGCUGACUCAACUGAGAGGAAACGCAAAAUAAACAUCCAAGGGUUGCAUUUAUUUAUUUAUUUAUUUAUCAGGAAACGUGUGUGUCUUGGGGAGGGUUGCCGGGUCAUUCUGUCUGGGGAAGGGCAGUAGGCUGAGGGGGCGGGGUGUGGUCACAGAGGGCACAGCAGAAGGAUGAGAAGGUGUCCGUUAGUGCUUCAGCUACUCUGGGCCGCCUCCCCCGCCAGGGGCUGAGCAGGACCCCACUGGGCACGGCCUGCACACUCUGGGUCGGGGAAGCCCUCGGCCACCACUUUUAAAGCAAAAGCCCUCCUCCUGCUCCCCACCCAGGGGGUCUGCUCACGACAGGGGUGGGAUCAGAACCGGCUCGCUGUGAAGCAGUUCUGGGCAGAGCACCGUGGCCGCGGGCAGCGCUUGGCUUCCACAUUCAGAAAGCUGCUCCAUCCUUUCCUUUUCUCAGCCUGUGCAGGACCCAUUUGUGGUGGGGUUGAGCCUGGUGAGUGGAUCCCAGCCCUAUUUAAAUGGAGCUCUUACCCUGGAAGUAGGGACAGAAUCGUCUGGAUGGAAAUGAGGUAUGGAACCGGGGAAGUACAGAAAACCCAAGGAAAUUGCUUCUGUGCCCUUUGUUGCUAAUCCUGCUUGUAAUUACCGUUUUGCCACAUUGAGUCUGAAGUUUAUGUAGGAUUGAACUCAGGCCAGAGUUGCCCUGUCAUAGUCAUAUGACACCUCAUUCUUAAGGUGGCUGCAGCUCAUGGGAUAUUUGAGGACUGGCUCCUGCUCUGUGUAAGGUCUUCUCCGAUGUGCCCUGUGUAUUUUCUUUUCACUGGUAAAUCUCUAUGUAGAUUUCACAUCUGCAUUAAGUCCUGUUAUCACUCCUCACCAAAUACGUACAGAAUCUGCCCUUCCCGGCAUCAUGAAGUAUUGAUUCUGGUCCCCCAGCUCCCCAGGGACAUGCAUGGCACAGACCCCAGCAGUACGGUUGUAGCCAGGAUCUCCAUGUCCAGGGAGAUUUGCCUUCAGGUUUUACUGUCAGAUUGUUGGUCUUCCAAUGCUAGAGAAAUAGAGAAAGGAUGACUGUGACAUUACCUCUUCUAAAGAAUGUAUUCUUAUAAAAUCCUGCAGAGAUUUUAUUUUUUCUGAAAAACACUACCUGAUGCUCUCCUUGUCUGUCAGGUUUGUGGGCAUGUCAGGGGUUCCUUCCAUCAGUAUUAAGACGUGUGUUGAGUGUGGGCCUCGCCCUCCACCAUCUGGCUCCAGGCUCUGCAGCUUUGGUGGCGGCUAGGGGCCUGGGUGCUUCCUGCUGUUCCCCGUGUCUCUGCUGUUCCACUCAAAACAUGCUCCACAGAGUUCAUCUCUGCACACGCUUCCUCCCUAUCAAACUUUUUUUUUUUUCCCUUCCUCUCCUGCGAUUCCUGGGAAGCCAAGAGGCUGCGGACGCAGGGAGAGAGUGGUGACGUCCACCUGUCCAGUUCAACAUUGUGCAAAUGGAAGCCUUUGUGGACGGUUUAAAUUGUCUUUAAAAAAACACCCCGAGCGAGCCUUCCUAAGCAGCCAGUACAGAUGUUCUCUUUGGGCCACCAGUGACCCAGGUCCUUCCCAGCCCCUGCUUGGAAGCAUACCUCAGCACAGAACCACGGAGUGCCUGCACCCGCAGCGCCAGGCCUCUGACUCCGUGGGCAUUGAGCAGACGGUGGCUGAAGACAGGCUUCUGAGCAGCGGGUUCAAGCGCUUCCGAUUAGGUGGAGGCGUUCUUCAGAGCGGCAAUACCUCCUGUGAACUUAGGGCAGGAAGCAAUACUUCAGAAUUGAAUGUGUGUAAAUAGUUGCUUUGAGUUGCAAUUGCUAGUUCUUCUUGGCCUCAGGUCAGAUCAAAUUAUAUAUGUGUAAAUAUGUAUAAACAAACACAAAUAAUUGCAUCCAAUGCAAACAAAUGCAGAGCAUCAGUUAUGAAACCCUCACAGAGCUUGGAGGCUGCUCACGGCUCCGUUACCCUGACUGUGCUGUGGAGACACCUGCACAUUUGCACUUGACAUUGAGAGCCAAAGGGCCGCGUGCUUCCCCAUUAUGUGGGCUGUAGUGAUUUGUAGUUUCCAAAGAUCUGUCCGCGUUUGCAUUUCUAGACUUUCGAAGUAAGCACUUUUUGGUGGUGGUUUCGAAAAAUCACGUCAUGCCUAGAAUAUGAAAAUUAAAUCUGCGAGAACCAAUUGUUUGCGUUCUCCAUCUUUCCUUUGCUCUACCCUUUUUAAGUUGUUAAUCCUAAUAAUUUCAAAAUGCACCCACUGAAGAAAUGGACAUUAAAAUACUCUAAAAUCUCAAUAUUUGAUGCCUGGUAUUUCCUCAUCAACAAGAUCGUUACCACUUCCGAGAUUAGGGCGCUCCUUUUUCCCUGCCAUUUGUGGCUGAAAUAGGAAGCUUUGCAGGUCUUUUACAUCAUGACUUUGAAAACAGGGCAACUAAAAACUCUUAUUGUGUGUGUAUGUGUGUGUGUGUGUGUUUUAAAUGGACACAUUUGCUACAGUGAACUUUGGUUGAGAAUUAUUUAUUUUUACAUGGAACAGAAGCAGGUUGCAGGACAAAUUUUGCUUGCGACCACAUCCUGAUUUUUUUAGACCUUCUAAAUAGUUUUUCCCGCAAUAUCUUCAGCAACUGACUGAGAAGAUGAAGUAAGUUUUCUGAAAAGAUGUGCCUGCAUAGCCUCUUCCUUACAGAGUCCUGGGGUGCCUGUAUCAUGGGAAAGUCACAAACCCAUUUCGGAAUCUGUUUAAAGUCACAGAGCGUCUUUGCCAAAAAUCACACAUGCCAUUUUACAUGUCAUAGGGGCUCACAGCACCUCCAAACCUGGAGCCAAAUGCUGGCUCUGCUAGGGGUUAGAGCCUCUUCCCCCAGGGUUUUUCCUGGAGAGUUCAGUAUUAAUGUGCAACUUCAAAGCACAGGACCCUCUUGUCGACUCAGCAAAGGGGAUGCAGAUGUGGCCCCAGGCCUUGCUCAUCAGAUCAGAGGGAUCCAGCUUCUAGGUGAUCCUCCACUGGAGCCUGGUACCUGUGAGGACACUGCUUGUUGACGAGGGUGCUCUUUCCUCUGAGUCCGCGCUGCAGGCAUUCCUAGGAACCUUCCGGAGGUAAGGGAAUAUUUGUCUUUGUUGCGUUUCUCUAGUAGAAAGGACACCCCAGGGACUUUGGGGGGUUUCUCAAACAGUCUAGAAAGGCAGCCUCUAAUUUUUGCAGUAAACCUCAGGACUUAUCAUUUAUGGCUUCUCUUUAUUCUUUUUUUUUUUUAAUCUUUUCACUCUCAUAUUAGGGAGAGUUUUAAAAUAAGUGUAAUGAAGAAUCGACCUUACCCAAAUAGAGGGCUGGCCUUUUCUCUGGUUUCUUGGGAAUUGAUCUCUGAGCUCUUGGAAUAUCAUGCCUGAUAAGUGUCUCUGUUUAACUGGGGCUUUGGGCCCCACCAGGUAGUCCAAAGGUGUCGUUUAGAGUGGUGAUCACAUGGUAUUCACUUGACCUCUGCAGGGGCUGGAGACGAGUUAUCUACUUUUAUCUAAAAUCUCUUUCACACGUGGUUGCUUUUCUCUGCUGUGGGAAUCUGUCGUUGUGGCCGCCUGGGAUGGAUCCCAAGUACCAGGGAGAGGAAGCUAACUGGGGCAGGAGAUAAGUGAGAGGAAGUGAUUAAGAAAAAGUACAGAGUUGCACACCAUGUAGGCGUAAACUCAAAACCUUCCCAAGUGUCUAUUUUUAUACUGUUCCUUUGUAAAAAUUGGUUUUUAAAUAACACGACUCCAAAGAGUUGUUACUGUAUGUCAGAAUAACUUAAGCGUGGGGAAUUCUCACAUCCCUUCUGGGCCUGAAAGUUGGAAAGAGAAAGAAAUUACGCAAUCAGGUAUUGAGCAAUCUGAGUGCCUCCCGAAACCUCAGUCAUCAGCAGCAGCGAUUCCUAACCUUUUUUUGGGCUCGCAAAGCCUUUGAUAAUUUGAUGAAAGUUGUGGCUCCUUCAUCCAGAAAAAAAAAUGCACAUCAAAAUAAACCCACUUCGUGGGCUUCCCUGGUGGCGCAGUGGUUGAGAGUCUGCCUGCCGAUGCAGGGGACACGGGUUCGUGCCCCUGUCCGGGAAGAUCCCACAUGCCGCGGAGCAGCUAGGCCCGUGAGCCAUGGCCGCUGAGCCUGCGCGUCCGGAACCUGUGCUCCGCAACGGGAGAGGCCACAACAGUGAGAGGCCCACAUACCGCAAAAAAUAAAUAAAUAAAAAUUUAAAAAUCCACUUCAUGUUCCUGGAUCCAAAUCCAAUACCCAUGAUCUACAAUAACAGGAGGAAUGGUGAUUUUUAAUUAUAAGUAUCUGCAGGUGAGGUUUCCAAGCACUUCUGGACUGUCUACUGGAAACGUGAUUAAACAGGUUAAUGCUGCUUGUUUAUAUAUGCAUUUCCAAUCCAAUUAUAUUUUAGACUUUAAUGUGUGAGUUACCUAAGUACAUCUGAAGAGGCACUCAAAGAACUUUUCAAUAUAAAGACAAAGUUCAUCAGAUUCUUUCCCAACAGAUAAAUAACGAUCAGACAGUGUUUUACUGAGUACCCUACUAUGUGCCAAAGCUCCUUUCACUUAGGUGGUGACAGUGCUGUGAUACUUGAGAAUAUUUGAGGAGCACCUGUGAUUAGUCACUGUUUUUCCCGACGGCUCUCCUGUUAGGAGUCCCACCAGGAAACAGAAGGGAAUUUUUAUACAUCCCUCUCCUUGCUGACAUUUUUAUUUUUUAUUUUUAUUUUUUAAAUUUAUUUAUUUAUUUAUUUUUGGCUGUUUUGGGUCUUCGUUUCUGUGCGAGGGCUUUCUCCAGAUACGGCAAGCGGGGGCCACUCUUCAUCACGGUGCGCGGGCCUCUCACUAUCGCGGCCUCUCCAGACGCGCAGGCUCAGUAGUUGUGGCUCACGGGCCCAGUUGCUCCGCAGCAUGUGGGAUCUUCCCAGACCAGGGCUCGAACCCGUGUCCCCUGCACUGGCAGGCAGAUUCUCAACAACUGUGCCACCAGGGAAGACCCUUGCUGACAUUUUUAAAUGGUGGCACCUUAGUGUCAUCUGUACCCCAUCAGAGAUGAUCUUUGUGUUAUGGUCUUAUGGAAUAUUCAGUCUUUCAAGAAAGAGCAACAGAUGAGGACCAUUCAGGGAAAACAACUGCACCAAUAUUGUGUUGGUCCCUCCCUGAGAGAGGGGCCACUCCACAUGGUCAUAUAUUUUAUUUUUAAAACAAUCCUGAUGGCGACUGGGGUCCCAGCUCGAGGGUCUCAGAGCUGAGCAGAACAAGGCACUGGCUUGGACUGACGGGGCCGGUGGUGGCCUUUCAGGAACCACACCCCCAGUGAAAGGUCUCCCUGCCCCCCCCACGCCACCACCCACCCCCAGAAUUGCAAGGGGUUGGAGGACUAGAGCCUCUGCUGACCCCACCUCCUUCCAAGUGACCUCCAGCAGGCUACAGUCUUCUCAGAGCUGCUCUUUCUUUGUCUUCCUCUGGGCUUUUUUUUUUUUGCUGUACGCGGGCGUCUCACUGUUGUGGCCUCUCCCAUUGCGGAGCACAGGCUCCGGACGCGCAGGCUCAGCGGCCAUGGCUCACGGGCCCAGCCGCUCCACGGCGUGUGGGAUCCUCCCAACCGGGGCACGAACCCGUGUCCCCUGCAUUGGUAGGCGAACUCUCAACCACUGCGCCACCAGGGAAGCCCUCCUCUGGGCUUCUUGAUCUUCUCAGCAAACAAAAUUCUUGCCCUCUAGGUUGACAGGGUGAGGACUGAUAGCAGAAAGGGGGAAUUGUUUGGACUUGUCCAUGUGAUUCCAGGGAAAGGAGCAGAAUGGGGGUGACAUGGCCUCACACGCUCCCCUUGGAGUCCCAUGGCAUAGACAGCCUCGCACCCAAGGCAUCCGUCUCGAAUCCUGCCAGGUUCCCACCCUCUGAGGUCCCCAGCUCUGGUCUCCCCGUCUCAUGGACGGCCACUCCUCCUCUCUACCUGCGGCCACCACCUGCAUUCCACCAUCACCUUUGACCUCCCAAGUAGGUUUCAGUGCUGUGUUACCUCACUCCCAAACUUCAGGAGUACAGAUAAACCUAUGGCAACGCGGCGAGCGGGCACUUUAUUGAUUUAAAGAAAGUAACUCUUUAGCUGUGAAAUUCAGUUCUCACACAUGCAAAUGUGCCUCUACACAUAAGGCAGCCUCCCAUUAUAUGAUAGUUUUCUGCCAAGGAACUCAAGACACCUGGAACCCUUUCUGUCCUCAUGAUGCCUCACCGAAGGCAGAGGUGGUUUUUCCUGUCCAACAGAUUCGAAAGUUCAGGUUCAGCGUAGCUGAGCAGCUUGCCCCCCUCAGCCAGUCAUUGCCAGUGAUUCCCAGCUGCACAGCCAGAGACACAGCAUGCUGCCAGUCCAGACCAUCUCAUGGCUUGCCCCCCCUUCCUUUGCAAGAAAAGAACAAAGAAUCCAGGUGGUGGGAUGAGACAUGGUGCAUUUAAAUGGUGAGAUUAGACAGUAGGUCAGCAAGUGACUGACAAGAACCCGUCUCCUGCAGUAAGUGUCCUGCCGCUGGUGACAGAGGAGAGCUGGAGUUUAACACCUUGUUGGGGGCAGGGGGGUCCUCCCCGUUCCUGUUUCAAGCUGAACCACGGAAGGCACUGGAGUUGGUUGUUCCCUCCGCAGCUGGCGAGGUGCCGCACCACCACCCUUCCAAUGUGGGGGGAGGGGAAGGAGCAUCCUAGUUUUCCGAGAAGAGGAACAAGACUAACUUGGGCCUAACAGGGCUUGGAGAAAAGACUCAAGGCUCCUGAAGGACGCUGCCAUCAGGCCCCACCAGAAGAGGAGUGGGAUGAGGGGUGAGGGUUUAGCCCCUAACGAGCUCUCCUGGACCCUGGAGCUCCCGCCGGACACGGCCAGCAGAGGAGGCCCAGGGCCAGGAAGCCUACACCAGGCGUAGGAGAAGCUCUGUGGAUGGGCUGGCGACCUCUUUAGCCAGAGGCCCAGGAGACCCUGAAGGGGAAAGGCCAGGACCACCAUCGCACUUCCUGGGAAGGGACAGAGCCCUCCUCAGCCUCCUAGUGGCUGCUCUUUCACCCACAGAGACAGCCUGGCAGCUGAGGGCCCAAAACCCUGGGGCCCGGCCUGAGUCUGUGAGAAAUAAGCUCUCUCAUCCUAUCCAAAAGCCCUUCAGAGAGUUGAGGCCACGUCAGGAGAGGUGAGCCCCAGGAAUCGGCUCUGCAGGGGAGAACCCCCCAACAGUGACAUGUAGCCCAGCAGUGGGACCUGGAAUGUCCCAGAAACAUUAAAGCUUGGGGUGGGGGGUGGGGUGAGAGCGACUCAGGAGCAGAGUUGAAGUCAGGAGGAAGGAGCCACUGAAAAAGGCUCCUUUCAUGCGGAGCCCAAGGCUAUAAAUAACCAGGCAGCUGCUCCACAGCUGGUUCAGGGCCCGUCUGGGCAGGGGGAGGUGGCUCAGGGUGGUAAGACAGCAGCCCCCCUGCACUUGAGCUGCGGGGCUGUGGCCUGGACGGCAGAGAUGCAGCAAGCCCCCCUCCUGACACCUGGAGCUGGCAGCCGGACAAGACGGAACAAAGCGACACAGGGCCUGCUGCGCGACCCUUCUUUCCAAGGACACUCCCUGCUACCCUGGCCCUGCUGUUUGCACGUCAGCAUUGGCGCUUAUUUUUUACAAAGCCUUUUUUUCUUUUUAUUGAGAUGUAACAUCAGUGACGCACAAAUAACUUGGUGAGUUUUUAUGUAUUUCUAUACCUACCUGCCUAUCACCCGGAUCAAGGUAGAGGACAUUUUUAGCAGCUCAGUGGACAAUCUUGUGCUGUGUCAUCAAAGCCCCCACCAUCCAAGGCGAACCCCUGUUUUGAUCUCUACCAUUGUAGAUUGCGUCUUCCUUUCAACUUCAUGGCUGAUUCAUCUCACUGGAAUCCCACAGGAAGCACUGCUUUGCAUCUGGUUUCUUUCAGGCACUGACAUGCCUGUGAGAUUCCUCCACCUCUUGGGUAGCAAAACUUUGUCCUUUUUCACUGCUUUGUAUUAUUCCAUUGUAUGAGGAGACCAUGAUUUAUUUCUUCAUCCUCUUGCUAAGGGUCACUGGGCUGUUUCCAGUUUGGAGCUUUGAUGAAUAACACUGCAUUGGGCAUUUUUUCAGUGUUAGCAUAUGUCAGAGCAUGUUUGGAAAUAAAUUCUGCUGAGGA